GUUUUUUGGUUUCGUCUCGUCGCGCUGUUGUUUAAAAACCGUGUCCCACGGGGUCUCUCUCCCAUUAGGACUCUCUCUCGCACAAGUCGAGCUUGCCGCUUGAAGUGAAUUGAUCAAAACCUAAUAGCAAAGUUUGAGUCGAUAAGACUGAUGCUGCUCUUUACUCUCCUUCCGGCCCUCAAUUCCAUCUGGGUUCUUUAAAAUCUUCCUCUUCUGUGUAAUCAAUUUUACAUCUAUAUCUUAUUUUCUCAUAUACUAAACUGAAUCUCCAUAUUUCAAAAUGGGGUUUAAGAUAUAUAUAUUUGUGUGUAUGUAUUGUGAUUGUUGGUAGUUAAUUUGGGUGUUUAUAGAUGAAUGGUUAUUGUUGUUGGUGAUUCUUGAAAGACCCAUUUGAAAUUUAUGUGUAUUGAGAAUUUUUUACAAUCUUUUGUCAAGGUUCUGGUCAUUUUAAGGGUUUUCAGUGGGAAGAAGGAUAAGAUUGAGCCGUUCUUUGAUAUACUUGAGUUUCUUUGAUUGUGUUUUUGCUGGAUGAUAGUAAAGAUUGGUUCUUUAUUUUGCUAGAUUGGAAUGUUGUUUUUGUAUUUGCUUGAUUGGGCUGUAGAAAGUUUCAUCAUGAUCCUCAGACAGUUGUUAAUAACCGCAAUAAGGCUUUGAUUCUGAUUGAAGCGUGGGGGGAGUGAGCUUCGCUAUUUGCGUGUUUAUGAGGAGACGUACAAGAGCUUGAGGUCCAGAGGUAUACGCUUUCCUGAUCGUGAUGGUGAAAGUUUGGCUCCUAUAUUCACUCCACCUCGUUUGACCACAGCACCGGAGCCAAAUGCGAGCUUAGCACAACAAAUGUAUAAUGAGGUGAUCUGACACCGGCGCACCUGGCAAUUGUGAUGGAGUAUGCAUCUGGUGGAAAACUAUUUGAACGCAUUUGCGCAGCGGGUUGCAGGCUAUUUCAUAGGCAUGUUGUCUAGCCCCGUGAUCUGUUUGUUUCAGCUUAGGCCGCUUACUUCUGCAUGCUAUUGGAAAGCUUCAAGCUAUAUACCAGCAGAAAGCUACAAAGGCAGAACACAAUCUCAGAGAAGAUGGAUCACUUGCGUUUGCCUUCAGUCCUCUCCUCAAUGAAUCAAUGUUGCCCUGACAAGAGCAAGGUUUGUGUAUGUGCUCUGUUAUGUAAAAUAUUAACUGGAGCUCCCAGAGAGAUGAACUUGGUUGAUUGGUUUGAAGUGAUGGUUGAUUGGCAGAUGUGCUUUUGUAGUAUGGUUUAUAUAGAUUUUGGAAUUUGGUAGAUAAUCAACUAAGUGGAAGCAUAUUACUGGAAAUAGUAAGUGGUCAGAGAAACAACUCUGUAAGUGAUCAUGUUGUGUUCCUUUAGGCUUGGAAUUCUUCAGCACUAAUAAUACACAUGAUGUAUCUCUACACAACUUCAAACAAGUCCAAGCCCAGCUCAUAGUUACAGGUCUGUUUCAACACUCUCUUGCUUUUAGUCGUGUGGUUAAAAAGCUCUGUUCCUUACCCUCUGGAGUUAAUUAUGCAGUUGAGCUGUUUGAUCAUUUUGAUGAGGCUGAUGCUUUUGUCUGUAAUAGUAUUAUAAGAUGUUUUGUGAAUUUGAAUGACCCUUUAAGUGGAUUGGGGUUUUAUUAUGAGAAAAUGGUGGGGGGAUCUGUGCAAGCCUAAUCAUUAUAGUUUUCCGAUUAUUGUUAAGGUUUGUGGUGAGUUUGGGUGUGUUAGAGAAGGGGAAAUGGAGCUAAGAUCUCUGGAACUUCGAAUGGUGUCAGGAUCAAAACGUAUCGGGUUAAAAAUAAGUUACGAAAGCUAAAAUCAGAAUGUUAUCGAAAUACAGGUGCUUAAAUUCACAAUGCCUUUGCAUAUUGCUGGUACAAAUCAAGGUGAACAAGAAAAAGCAGUUUGAUAAUUAUAUUUAAAAUAUUCAUGUGCUGAUUGAUGAACUUAUCUUCAAGGACAUCCGUAUCUGUUUUAGGAUUCAAAUUAAAACAUUUUAUUACUGCAACAUUACUUUGGUGCAAUAAAAACUCGGAUAGCAUAAUAAAACCCUGUUGCAACAAAGUAGUGGUGCAUUACGAACAAACCUGAUUAUAAAGGAUGAAUAGAUUUUAGUUAUGGUAAGCCUCUGGAAAGUGGGAAACCAAACAAAAAUGCCAUGCAUCAAGAUAGGUAUUUUUUGCAUCCAUAUUUUCAGUAAAAUCUGGACAACUUUUAAACGAUAAACCAUUAGGAGCUACUUAACAGGUACAGAAGGAUAAUUAGAUACACAACCCUAGCACCAUGUAUCAUUUUAUAUAGAUAUUUCAAAGACUUAAAGUCUGAACCAAACUUUCUAGGGCUUCAUGUAUAAAUUGCAUCCUCUGACAGAAAAUAAUACAUAAACAGCACCACCUCUAGCGAAGGUAAGGUAUUCACAGCUUUGCUAACUGUAGGGAAUAAUUUCAUGUUUGACCACAUGUGGAGAAAAAGGGUUGUCUUCACUGAUUUCCAUUCAAUCAUAGAGUUUGGAGUUGAAAUAUAUGUUAAGAAUUUGUUUAUUUAUCUUAUUCCAUGCCUGAAUAAAGUAUAGGAAAGAAAGUAGAUAAAAAUAGCAAGAAUGGAGACAUUUUCAUAAAAAAAAUAAUAUUUUUCCCCCUAUUAUUUUAAUAUUAUUCCUUCUUUUACGACAGAAAGGCUAUAUGUGCAACAAUGUCUUUUUUUGAAAACAAAUUCAAGCUGUAUGACCGUAAAAUCUCUAAUUAUUAUUGUUCUUUUUCCCAUAGAAAUUUGGCAGAUACUCACCUAAGUGGAAGCAUACUACUGGAAAUAGGAAGUGGUCAGAAGUUUCUCUGCAAGUUUGAUCAUGCUUUUUCGGUACCCUUUUAUGGUGCAAUGGGCAUCGCCCUCAAACUACACACCUCUUUAUUCAAAGGGAAAACCAGAUGAGUUGGAGUACAUGGUUCAGAGAAUGAAGACCGUGUCCUUGAAACAUAAAGAAGCAAAGGUGCCAAACGAAAGCAGAAUCAUGGUGUGGAAGUAGUCUUUAUUAUUUUAUCUGUGAUUUUAUUUCUGGAUGUUAGAAAAUUAGUCUUCAAUAUUAGUGAGAUGAAUAUGUGAAAUAGGUAUCUAAAAAGAUAAAGCCAGUUUAAGAUAUAUGUUUUUGUUAAUUCUUGGCUAUUUGUAUUGUUUUCUUAUAAUUUUAAUUGGUUCUAAUUUUCAA